UGUUAGUAAUUUUUUGCCAAUAAGAAAUGAAGGUUGUCAUUUUGCUUUUCUUCUUGGAGAUCUGUUAGUGUUUAACCUCUGCUGGCAAAGAAGGACUGUGCAUCUUCGUGCUAAAUGCCUCACCAGUGGGUUGGGGAAGAGAGUCAGAAGAGUCAAGUGAGAAAACUUGGGCUGAGAUACAAUUUAAUAAAGCAAAAGCCACAGACACAGAGCAAAUCAAGGAAUUCAUUCCCCGUUUCCAGUGGACAGUCUUGUGUUCAGCCAUCUCUAGGAAAGCAGGAUUCUCUAUCAUGCCUUAAUGGUGACUUGGGAAGACAAACUCCAUCACUCUGAAUGUCCUCCCACUUCAUUCUUCCCUCAGCUCUAUAUGCUGAGCAUGACACCAUAUGUCCUAGAAUAUCCCUGUGAUCAACUGGGGAUCAGCUGUGUCCCCUCCCAACUCCAUAUCUACCUCCAAACCACUUGCUGGUGGGGUGAUUCAAGCAGAAAAGGCCUAGAUGCCUUGUGAGCAGUAACUAGAACAUCUCUGUGUUGUCAGUGCUGCUUUCUGUGCAAAUCUGAAACACAUCCCCAUAAUUCUGUUGCUACUGUGACAGACAUUAAAUACUCCAUUCAAAACCAGAGCAAGCUCCUUCACAACACAGCUACCAAGCAUGAAGUCCAGCUACCACAGCAGCAAAGGGUCUCCAGAAGGAGCUAGUGAAGAAGCUCAGCAGCAGCCCAGCAAUGCCUCUCUGUAGGAAAACAACUUUGUCUGGACAGAUGCUGUUGAUCUGAACCAAUUCCUGUGACUAGGCACAUGGCUAUGGGCAGCUCCUGCAGAGAGACAAACACCGAGCAGAGAUUUUCCAUAGACAGGAGGACAGCUGUUGUGGGUGCACAGAUGCCAGAUGUCCCAUGGAUUUUGAGUGGAGUCUCCCUGAAGAGAUCCACGUUAGGAGUUACCAGGAUUUGCACUGUCUGACCAUUGCUGUGGAUUUUAACUCCUGGAUUUUGACGUUGUUAGUGAAAGCCACUUGAAAAGGCACAUUGUCAGGCACAUUCCACCUUGACCUCCAAAUCAUAUCCUGGAAACAGGAGAAAAGUAACCUAUAUCUUCUCCCAGCAGUCAUUCACUCCAGGAACUCCACCUGGAUACAGCAUGCUAUUUUUAGAGUUGGCUCUCACUGUCUCCUGACCUAGUGGAUAUUAGGACAGAGGAGUAGCUUCUGAGUAGAAUCCAAGUGCAACCAUGAAAUCCAAGUUGAACGGUGCACCUUUCACCUAGUACAACUCCUAAUGGGGGAUUCAGAGUUCAGAAGGACACUGCCUGCUGAGUUUGCUUCAGGCACCUUGCCUGAAAUGUUUGUCAUAUUUGGAUGAAAGACGAUUACCUGGAUCAGAGAAGGGGAGAGCGCUAAAUAUCACCUAAAAAUUGAAUUAUUUAGAUGUAUUUUAAGGGGGAGAGGAAUGUACAAUUAAAAAAUUAAAAAUCACAUCCAGAAAGAUAGCCUAGCACUGUGUGAUAAUUCUCCUGUGUCUCACACAGGCAAAGCUCCUCUCUCUCUCUAAGGCAGUGCAUUCCAUCUACCAUGAGCAGCUCCGUGCUUGAUCUUCUGCUGAGACACUUAGGGGAAUAACCAAGCACACAAUGUUUCCUGUUGCUCCCAUGCAUCACUACCAGAAGCCUAUCACCUUCCAUCAUGAGUCUCUCCAGGCUAAAUCAUACCUUUGACUCACCAACUCUCCACCAAAUGCUUUGUAAUGGGUACGCCACGACCUGUUACCUGUUUAUUGGUGUAGUAAAUGCUGUUUCUAGAAUAAACUGAUGAAUGUGAUGCCAUUCA